AUUGAACGCUGGCGGCAGGCCUAACACAUGCAAGUCGAACGAGUGGCGGACGGGUGAGUAAUGUCUGGGAAACUGCCUGAUGGAGGGGGAUAACUAAUGGAAACGGUAGCUAAUACCGCAUACCAUCGGAUGUGCCCAGAUGGGAUUAGCGAGUAGGUGGGGUAACGGCUCACAAAGGAGACGAUCCGUAACUGGUCUGAGAGGAUGAUAAGGCACACUGGAACUGAGACACGGUCCAGACUCCUACGGGAGGCAGCAGGGGGGAAUAUUGGACAAUGGGCGAAAGCCUGAUACAGCCAUGCCGCGUGUGUGAAGAAGGUCUUCGGAUUGUAAAGCACUUUAAGUUGGGAGGCGUUACCAACAGAAUAAGCACCGGCUAACUUCGUGCCAGCCGCCGCGGUAAUAC
rnacentral:rRNA from 1 species